rnacentral:lncRNA from 1 species
ACCGUGAAAAUUCCAUGGAAGACUUCAGGAAAGUGACAUCACGCAGUGUACGGGCCUUUGGCAUUUCGCCUGCAUCAAAUGCGCGUGCAGCAGCGGGGAUCAAACCUGCGACUUUAGGCCUAUGUCUCGUACCAUAAUUUAGUAAAAUGACUGAAGUUGUUUACAGUUGGGUAACGCUGCCAACGGCAACGCGGGUAUAAGCAACACCAGAAGCGAGGUAUCAACAACGCGAAGAAGCCACCAUUCAUUGAUAAUUGUAAAACGAAGUACGACCAUAUACGACCAGUUAUAUUG